AAAUUCGCCCACUUCACCGCCAAUCAAGCCAUCCUCGAAUCCCUACACGGCAAAACCAGAGUCCACGUCAUCGAUUUCUCCAUGAACCAGGGGAUGCAGUGGCCCGCUCUGAUGCAGGCGUUGGCGCUCCGACCCGGCGGCCCGCCCGCUUUUCGGCUCACGGGUAUAGGGCCGCCGGCUUCGGAUAACUCCGACCACCUUCAGGAAGUGGGAUGGAAACUCGCCCAAUUGGCUGAAACCAUCCACGUUGAGUUUGAAUACAGAGGAUUUGUGGCAAACAGCUUGGCCGAUCUGGACGC
rnacentral:lncRNA from 1 species